UCCACAGGGCUCGGUGCUGGGGCCAGCCCUCUUUCAUAUCUUAUUGAUGGGGGGAUUGAGUGCUCUAUCAGACAAGGUUUUGUGAGCCACCUGCAUGGGUGUUCCUCUGCCCACCUUGCUCUCUCCACUGGAUGUUCCUCCUUUUGGGCUGUUCAGCCUGAAGAAGUUUAACAAGAACGUCACAAUCCAUGAAUAACAACUGGUGUUUCUCCUCUAACUGCAACAUUCUGGAUUACUUUAAAUGAACAAAGCUUUAUCACAUAUGGCAUCCUGACAUGAUUAAUUUUCUUAAGGGAUAGUGUGUGAACUGGACAAGAACCCAGGAUGAUUUAAAGAUAAAAUUGUAAAUGCCAUGGUCAGCACUGACUCUGAAUUCUAUAAUUACUCACCAUUUGACCAAGAAACUUCAUAACUUCAGUGGUGCAAAAUUUUCUCUGUAUUUUGUGUGGAUGUUUUUAUUGGUUAAGAUACAUUAUUAGUGCUAAAAAGACCAGGCAGAAGAGAGAGAUUAAUUUUAGAUGCAUUUUCUUUGUGUGUAAUAAUUCUGCUAAUAGUUCAUUACUUCAAAGCAUUGAAGACAACCUCAGGCACAGAUUUUAGGGAAGGAGUAAGUCUUGCAAAAUAUAUCCACCACAAUUUACAUUUAAUUUACUGGAUUCAGUGACUUAGUCUGAGACUCAAAGUCACACAAGACAAAGUGAAUCUUGUGUCAUUCUCAUUUUGAUAAGAAACUGUCUGACAUUUUGAAAAAUGACCUAGUCUGUAGUCACAAUCAGAAUAUAUAAAAGCUCAGUGAUACAGAAUUGUUUCCUUAUUCACACUGGACUCCUGUUCAUAAGCUAUUACCUGAGCUGUGGAUUUUGGCUGAUAAAGUCAGGCUGAGGUUUUCUUCCCAAACUUGUCUUGAGCUAUUGCAGAAAACCAUAUUGGCAGGAUAUUCAGGUGCCCAGAAUGUGAAUUCUCUUGGGAAAAUAGAAACAAAAUUAAUAGGAUUAUUGUCCCUAUAGGAACAGUUUUCCAAGGUUGAUUCAGACACGUGAUUUUCUUAGGAGACGGU